GAUGAACGCUGGCGGCGUGCCUAAUACAUGCAAGUCGAGCGAACAGACGAGGAGCUUGCUCCUCUGACGUUAGCGGCGGACGGGUGAGUAACACGUGGAUAACCUACCUAUAAGACUGGGAUAACUUCGGGAAACCGGAGCUAAUACCGGAUAAUAUAUUGAACCGCAUGGUUCAAUAGUGAAAGACGGUUUUGCUGUCACUUAUAGAUGGAUCCGCGCCGCAUUAGCUAGUUGGUAAGGUAACGGCUUACCAAGGCAACGAUGCGUAGCCGACCUGAGAGGGUGAUCGGCCACACUGGAACUGAGACACGGUCCAGACUCCUACGGGAGGCAGCAGUAGGGAAUCUUCCGCAAUGGGCGAAAGCUUGACGGAGCAACGCCGCGUGAGUGAUGAAGGUCUUCGGAUCGUAAAACUCUGUUAUCAGGGAAGAACAAAUGUGUAAGUAACUCUGCACAUCUUGACGGUACCUGAUCAGAAAGCAACGGCUAACUACGUG
rnacentral:rRNA from 1 species